CCUACGGGAGGCAGCAGUGAGGAAUAUUGGUCAAUGGGCGCAAGCCUGAAGCAGCCAAGUAGCGUGAAGGAUGAAUGCCCUACGGGUUGUAAACUUCUUUUAUAAAGGAAUAAAGUGAGGCUCGUGUGCCUUUGUGUAUGUACUUUAUGAAUAAGGAUCGGAUAACUCCGUGCCAUCAGCCGAGGUAAUACGGAGGGUCCGAGCGUUAUCCGGAUUUAUGGGGUUUAAAGGGAGCGUAGAUGGGUUGUUAUGUCAGGUGUGAGAGUUUGCGGCUCAACCGUGAAAUUGCAAUUGAUACUGGCAGACUUGAGUGCAGUUGAGGUGAGCGGAAUUCGUGGUGUAGCGGUGAAAUGCUUAGAUAUCACGAAGAACUCCGAUUGCGAAGGCAGCUUACUAAACUGUCACUGACAUUGAUGAUCGAAAGUGUGGGUAGCAAACAGGAUUAGAUACCCCGGUAGUC
rnacentral:rRNA from 1 species